AUUGAACGCUGGCGGAAUGCUUUACACAUGCAAGUCGAACGGCAGCACGGACUUCGGUCUGGUGGCGAGUGGCGAACGGGUGAGUAAUAUAUCGGAACGCGCCCAGUCGUGGGGGAUAACGUAGUGAAAAUUACGCUAAUACCGCAUACGAUCUACGGAUGAAAGCGGGGGAUCGCAAGACCUCGCGCGAUUGGAGCGGCCGAUAUCAGAUUAGGUAGUUGGUGAGGUAAAGGCUCACCAAGCCGACGAUCUGUAGCUGGUCUGAGAGGACGACCAGCCACACGGGGACUGAGACACGGCCCAGACUCCUCCGGGAGGCAGCAGUGGGGAAUGUUGGACAAUGGACGCAAGUCUGAUCCAGCCAUUCCGCGUGCAGGACGAAGGCCUUCGGGUUGUAAACUGCUUUUGUACAGAACGAAAAGGUCUCUAUUAAUACUGGGGGCUCAUGACGGUACUGUAAGAAUAAGCACCGGCUAACUACGUGCCAGCCGCCGCCGUAA
rnacentral:rRNA from 1 species